CCCAGACUCCUACGGGAGGCAGCAGCGAGGAAUAUUGGUCAAUGGGCGGGAGCCUGAACCAGCCAUGCCGCGUGAAGGCGAGUGCCCUACGGGCGUUAAACUUCUUUUGUGCGGGAGCAAUAAGGGCCACGCGUGGCCCGAUGAGAGUACCGCACGAAUAAGCAUCGGCUAACUCCGUGCCAGCAGCCGCGGUAAUACGGGGGAUGCGAGCGUUAUCCGGAUUUAUUGGGUUUAAAGGGUGCGUAGGCGGCGCUUCAGGUCAGCGGUGAAAUACCGGGGCUCAACCCCGGGGCUGCCGUUGAAACCGGAGCGCUAGAAUUCCGAUGCCGUCGGAGGAAUGUGUGGUGUAGCGGUGAAAUGCUUAGAUAUCGCGCAGAACCCCGAUUGCGAAGGCAGCGUACCGGCUCCACACUGACGCUGAGGCACGAAAGCGUGGGUAUCGAACAGGAUUAGAUACCCUGGUACU
rnacentral:rRNA from 1 species